rnacentral:rRNA from 1 species
GUGACAAGCUACUAAGUGCGAUCGGUGGAUGCCUAGGCACCAAGAGCCGAUGAAGGACGUUGUAACCUGCGAUAAGCCCUGGGGAGCUGGUAAACGAGCUUUGAUCCGGGGAUGUCCGAAUGGGGAAACCUCGAAGGUGACCAGUUUAGCUACUGGCGACCGCCGCCUGAAUGUAUAGGGCGGUUGGAGGGAACGUGGGGAAGUGAAACAUCUUAGUACCCACAGGAAGAGRAAACAACCGUGAWUCCGUGAAUAUUGGCGAGCGAAAGCGGAAGAGGCCAAACCGGAGUGUGUGAUAGCCGGCAGGUGUUGCAUGUGCGGGGUUGUGGGAAGCGUUUUGACUGAACUGCCGUGAGGUCGGAGAGUGAUAAAGGAUUGAUGAAGCAGAAGCGUCUGGGAAGGCGCGGCAUAGAUGGUGAUACCCCUGUAUGCGUAAGUUGAUCUCUCUCUUAAUGUUUUCCCAAGUAGUACGGAACCCCUGAAAUYCCGUACGAAUCUGGCGGACCACCCGUUAAGCCUAAAUACBCCUUGGUGACCGAUMGCGGACAAGUACCCGUGAGGGAAAGGGUGAAAAUGUACCCCCGGGAGGGGAGUGAAAUAGUMCCUGAAACCGAUCGCAUACAAUCCGUCGGAGCCUGCCCUUGUGGUGGGUGACGGCGUGCCUUUUGRAAGAAUGAGCCUGCGAGUUAGUGGUGUGUGGCGAGGUUAACCCGUGUGGGGAAGCCGUAGCGAAAGCGAGUCCGAAUAGGGCGUUUGAGUCGCAUGCUCUAGACCCGAAGCGGUGUGAUCUAUCCAUGGCCAGGGUGAAGCGACGGUAAGACGUCGUGGAGGCCCGAACCCACCAGGGUUGCAAACCUGGGGGAUGAGCUGUGGAUAGGGGUGAAAGGCCAAUCAAACACCGUGAUAGCUGGUUCUCCCCGAAAUGCAUUUAGGUGCAGCGUCAUGUGUUUCUUGUCGGAGGUAGAGCACUGGAUGGUCUAGGGGGCUUACCAGCUUACCGAAAUCAGCCAAACUCCGAAUGCCGACAAGUGAGAGCAUGGCAGUGAGACGGCGGGGGAUAAGCUUCGUCGUCGAGAGGGAAACAGCCCAGAUCAUCAGCUAAGGCCCCUAAGUGGUGACUAAGUGGAAAAGGACGUGGAGUUGCGGAGACAACCAGGAGGUUGGCUUGGAAGCAGCCAUCCUUGAAAGAGUGCGUAAUAGCUCACUGGUCAAGUGAUUCUGCACCGACAAUUUAGCGGGGCUCAAGUCAUCCGCCGAAGCUGUGGCAUCUACGCGUGUAUCCGGCAUCCUUUGGGGUGUCCAGGUGCGUGGAUGGGUAGGGGAGCGUUGUGUGUGCGUUGAAGCGGCGGGGUGACCCGGUCGUGGAGUGCACGCAAGUGAGAAUGCAGGCAUGAGUAGCGUAUGACGGGUGAGAAACCCGUCCGCCGAAUAUCCAAGGGUUCCAGGGUCAAGCUAAUCUGCCCUGGGUGAGUCGGGUCCUAAGGCGAGGCCGACAGGCGUAGUCGAUGGACAACGGGUUGAUAUUCCCGUACCGGCGCGAGAACGAUCCUGCCGAGGUGAGUGAUGCUAAGCAUGCAAGGCGGUCGUGGGGGCUUCGGUUCCCUGAUCGUUGAGUCUGUAACCCGAUCUUGUAGUAGGCAAGCUGCGGAGGGACGCAGGAAGGUAGUCUGGCACCGUAUUGGUUUGCGGUGUUAAGCCUGUAGGGUGUCUGGCCAGGUAAAUCCGGUCGGACGUGUGCCUGAGAGGUGAUGAGUGGUGCCACUUUUGUGGUACGUAUCCGGAUGAUCCUAUGCUGCCUAGAAAAUCUUCGUGAGCGAGUUCUCGAGCUGCCCGUACCCCAAACCGACACUGGUGGAUAGGUAGAGAAUACCAAGGCGAUCGAGAUAAUCAUGGUGAAGGAACUCGGCAAAAUCCUCCCGUAACUUCGGAAUAAGGGAGACUGGAGGCGUGACGGCAGUUUACUUGUCGGUGCGUCGAUAGUCGCAGAGAAUAGGCCCAAGCGACUGCUUACUAAAAGCACAGGUCCGUGCUAAGUCGAAAGACGAUGUAUACGGACUGACUCCUGCCCGGUGCUCKGAAGGUUAAGGGGACGUGUUAGCACUUUUGUGCGAGGCACUGAACUUAAGCCCCAGUAAACGGCGGUGGUAACUAUAACCAUCCUAAGGKAGCGAAAUUCCUUGUCGGGKAAGUUCCGRCCUGSACGAAUGGAGUAACGACUUGGGCGCUGUCUCCACCAUGAACUCGGCGAAAUUGCAUUACGAGUAAAGAUGCUCGUUACGCGCACAGGGACGGAAAGVNCCCGGGACCUUUACUAUAGUUUGGUAUUGGUGAUCGGUACGACUUGUGUAGGAUAGGUGGGAGACUUUGAAGCGGUCACGCUAGUGAUUGUGGAGUCAUUGUUGAAAUACCACUCUGGUCGUUCUGGUUAUCUAACCUAGGUCCGUGAUCCGGAUCAGGGACAGUGCCUGAUGGGUAGUUUGACUGGGGCGGUCGCCUCCMAAAAGGUAACGGAGGCGCCCAAAGGUUCCCUCAGCCUGGUUGGUAAUCAGGUGUUGAGUGUAAGUGCACAAGGGAGCUUGACUGUGAGACAGACAUGUCGAGCAGGGACGAAAGUCGGGACUAGUGAUCYUCUGGUGGAUUGUGGAAUCGCCAGAACUCAACGGAUAAAAGGUACCCCGGGGAUAACAGGCUGAUCUUUCCCGAGCGCUCACAGCGACGGAAUGGNUUGGCACCUCGAUGUCGGCUCGUCGCAUCCUGGGGCUGGAGUCGGUCCCAAGGGUUGGGCUGUUCGCCCAUUAAAGCGGCACGCGARGCUGGGGKUAAGAACGUCGUGAGACAGUUCCGGKCCCUAUACCGCUGCSCGUMGKAUCUUGAGAGGGCUGUCCUUAGUACGCAAGGACCGGGACGGACCAACCUCUGGUGUGCCAGUUGUUCCACCAGGAGCAUGGCUGGUUGGCUACGUUGGGGAGUGAUAACCGCUGAAAGCAUCUAAGUGGGAAGCACGCUUCAAGAUGAGGGUUCCUGCACAGUUAAUGUGGUAAGGCCCCCGGUAGACCACCGGGUGAUAGGUCGGAUGUGGAAGCAUGGUGACAUGUGGAGCUGACCGAUACUAAGUGGCCGAGGGCUUGUCCCACA